GGUCCUUGUGGCCGUCCGAGUUGUAAUCUAGAGAAGUGUUUUCCGCGCUGGACCGUGUACAAGUCUCCUGGAAGGGAGCGUCAUAGAGGGUGAGAAUCCCGUCUUUGACACGGACUGCCAGUGCUAUGUGAUGCGCUCUCGACGAGUCGAGUUGUUUGUGAAUGCAGCUCAAAAUGGGUGGUAAAUUCCAUCUAAAGCUAAAUAUUGGCGAGAGACCGAUAGCGAACAAGUACCGUGAGGGAAAGACGAAAAGAACUUUGGAAAGAGAGUUAAACAGUACGUGAAAUUGCUGAAAGGGAAACGCUUGAUGUCAGUCGCGUCCGCCAGGGAUCAACCUAGCUUGAUUGCUUGGUGCAUUUCUUGGUCGGACGGGUCAGCAUCGGUUUCGAUCGGGGUAUAAUGGCGGAGGGAAUGUGGCACCUCUAGGGGUGUGUUAUAGACUUUCGUCGUAUGCUUGGGUGGGGACCGAGGAACUCGACACGGACUUUCGAUAGUCUUGUGUCUAGGAUGCUGGCAUAAUGGCC
rnacentral:rRNA from 1 species